GAUGAACGCUGACAGAAUGCUUAACACAUGCAAGUCUUUGGCGAAGCUGUGCUCGCACAGCCUAGCCAAGGCGGACGGGUGAGUAACGCGUAAGGAACUUGCCCUGCAGUCAGGGAUAACAGACGGAAACGACUGAUAAGACCUGGUAAAGUCAGGCGGACUCAUGUCCAGCCUGAUGAAAAGAGAUGCUGCAGGAGAGCCUUGCGUCCUAUUAGCUUGUUGGUGGGGUAACGGCCCACCAAGGCGAUGAUAGGUAGCCGGCCUGAGAGGGUGGACGGCCACAAGGGGACUGAGAUACGGCCCUUACGCCUACGGGAGGCAGCAGUGGGGAAUAUUGGACAAUGGGGGCAACCCUGAUCCAGCAAUUCUGUGUGCACGAUGAAGGUUUUCGGAUUGUAAAGUGCUUUCAGCAGGGAAGAAAAAAAUGACGGUACCUGCAGAAGAAGCGACGGCUAAAUACGUG
rnacentral:rRNA from 1 species